rnacentral:lncRNA from 1 species
UCCCGAAUAUCCAACUGACUUAUUAAUUUCUUAUAACGUACUCUAUUUUUCUUUGCCAAAUAAGCCAGCAAACGUUGACGUUUUCCCAAAAGUCUUCGUAGACCUCUUUCCGAUGAAAAAUCUUUUUUGUGUAAUUCUAAAUGUGAAGCAAGUCUCCGUAUCUUAUUGGUGAAACUGAAUACUUGAAAUUCAACAGAACCCCUGUUUUCUUGUUUUUCUUCUUUAACCAUAAAUCAACAAAUUUUUCUACCUCCUUUCUUUUUCAUGUAUUUUUCUGAUCAGGAAAAAUAAAAAAUUAUGUCAGUUAUUUUUAAGUUAUUCUAAUCUCGUACACACAAAAAUUUGCAAUUAUUCAUCUACUGCUGGAAUCUGGAAUUUGGAUUUAUUUUAUCGAUGCAAAUUGGAUUUGGAUAGAAGGGUACAUUCUUUUAUUUUAGAUAGAAGAAACAUUUCUUCUAUCUAAAAUAAAAGAAUUUUGCUGAUUUAUUUAUUGCUAUAUCCAAUUUAUAGAAUUGAUAUACCAUUUAAUUGAUAUCAUUUAGCAAAAUGAAACACAACAUAUGCAUCCAUCUUUGGGCUCGAGAAUUUCACGGGAUAGAGAUAUAGUAUAAGAAAUAGGCUAUUAAGUAACUCUAAAUGAAUUGUGGAUACAUCUGUAUCCUUAACAUACUGAAACGACUGCCAUUAUUCGUAUCAAACCAAUAGCGAUUCAUAAAAGCUAAAUCUUGUAAUCAAUGGUGGGCCAAUAAUGAAUUUUUUUGCAUAUGUAUUAAGACGCUUGGUCUGAUUUCGAAAUUGUCCAGAGUUUUUUAUGUUGUUUUCAUUGCAAAAUGAUGGAUCUCCUUCCGUAACUUUCCAAUUACGAGUACGAGAAUUGAAAGAUAGAACACUCAUAUCGAUAAAAUAGUUUGAACUAUUUACUAGAAGGGCACGCAGCCCUUUUUCCAAUGCCAAAUCGACGACCUAUGUAUAAAAAAAAGAGAAAUUUUUUGGAUUUGAAGAAAAAAUAAAAGGAAUUCUAUCAAUUUUUAUUUUCCAUUUAUUUAGUUUGUUUUUCUUAAUGAAAUUGAAAUUAUUAACUAACAGAGCAAACACAAAUAAAGAUAACUUUCCAAUUACGAGUACGAGAAUUGAAAGACAUGAAAAUUCUCAAUUCUCUACGGCGUCUAGGAGAUGGAUCGAAUAUUUUCAGGAACAAGAAAAUCAGAAGAAUCUUUUUCUCUAUUCACUACCAUUCCGCGUCUUCGACUUCUAUUAGUUUCUUUUCUUCUUUAAUGCAAUAGCUAUAGUUUGAUAUAGAAUCCAUUUCUCAAAGUAAUGGAAACCAUUCUC